rnacentral:rRNA from 1 species
AGAGUUUGAUCCUGGCUCAGAACGAACGCUGGCGGCGUGGCUAAUCCAUGCAAGUCGAGCGCGAACGUUCCCUUCGGGGAGCAAUUAGCGCGGCGAAAGGGUGAGUAACGCAUGGGUAACGUACCCUAAGCACGAGGAUAGUCCAUCGAAAGGUGGCGCAAUACUCGAUAAUGUCACAUGAAUUUCGGUUUGAGUGAUCAAAGGGUGGGGAUUCCUUCGGGAACCUGCCGGCUUGGGAUCGGCCCAUGUCCCAUCAGCUUGUUGGUAGGGUAAUGGCCUACCAAGGCACCGACGGGUAGCCGGACUGAGAGGUUGACCGGCCACAUUGGGACUGAGACACUGCCCAGACUCCUACGGGAGGCUGCAGGAACGAAUAUUCCGCAAUGGGCGCAAGCCUGACGGAGCGACGCCGCGUGUAGGAAGAAGCCUUUCGGGGUGUAAACUACCGUCAGGGGCUACCAAGCAAAUCCCUUUAAUAGAGGGAGGCGUUGAGGAUCCCCAGAGGAAGCCACGGCUAACUUCGUGCCAGCAGCCGCGGUAAGACGAAGGUGGCAAGCGUUGUUCGGAAUUACUGGGCUUAAAGAGCACGUAGGCGGUCUGUUAAGCGUUUUGUGAAAUCCCUCGGCUCAACCGAGGAAUUGCUUGGCGAACUGACAGACUUGAGGCAGGUAGAGGUGCGCGGAACUCUUGGUGGAGCGGUGAAAUGCGUAGAUAUCAAGAGGAACGCCAGCGGCGAAAGCGGCGCACUGGGNNGAUCUGACGCUGAGGUGCGAAAGCUAGGGGAGCGAACGGGAUUAGAUACCCCGGUAGUCCUAGCCGUAAACGAUGUCCACUAGGUUGGCGGUUCUUUGACGGAUUCCCAACCGUAGCGAAAGCGUUAAGUGGACCGCCUGGGGAGUACGGUCGCAAGGCUAAAACUCAAAGGAAUUGACGGGGGCUCACACAAGCGGUGGAGCAUGUUGCUCAAUUCGAUGCAACGCGAAGAACCUUAUCCUGGAUUUGAAAUGCUUGAAUGCGUCCUCUGAAAGGAGUGCCGCUGCCCUUCGGGGUGAAACUUGCACAGGUGCUGCAUGGCUGUCGUCAGCUCGUGUCGUGAGAUGUUGGGUUAAGUCCCGUAACGAGCGAAACCCUUGUCGUUAGUUGCCAGCGCGUUAUGGCGGGGACUCUAGCGAGACUGCCGGUGUUAAACCGGAGGAAGGUGGGGAUGACGUCAAGUCCUCAUGGCCUUUAUAUCCAGGGCUGCAAACGUGCUACAAUGGCCGGUACAAACCGACGCGAUACCGCGAGGUGGAGCAAACCGGAAAAAACCGGCCCCAGUUCGGAUUGGAGUCUGCAACUCGACUCCAUGAAGUUGGAAUCGCUAGUAAUCGCAGAUCAUCAAUGCUGCGGUGAAUAUGUUCCUGAGCCUUGUACACACCGCCCGUCAAGUCAUGGAAGCUGGUAGCACCCGAAGUCGCUGAGCGAACCUUUCGGGGGCGCAGGUGCCGAAGGUAUGAUGAGCGAUUGGGGUGAAGUCGUAACAAGGUAGCC